CAGUAGCCGCGGUAAUACGAACCGUGCGAACGUUAUUCGGAAUCACUGGGCUUAAAGCGCGUGUAGGCGGGCCGUCACGUCGGCUGCUGAAAUCCCCCGGCUCAACCGGGGAACUGGCACCGAUACGAGCGGCCUUGAGGGGGGUAGGGGGGUCUGGAACUUCCGGUGGAGCGGUGAAAUGCGUUGAGAUCGGAAGGAACGCCCGUGGCGAAAGCGAGGCCCUGGACCCUUACUGACGCUGAGACGCGAAAGCCAGGGGAGCGAACGGGAUUAGAUACCCCUGUAGUCCCUGUCUCUUAUA
rnacentral:rRNA from 1 species